GACGAACGCUGGCGGCGUGCUUAACACAUGCAAGUCGAACGAAGAGGCGAACGGGUGAGUAAAGCGUAAUCAACCUGCCCUUCAGAGGGGGACAACAGUUGGAAACGACUGCUAAUACCGCAUACUGAAGGAGGGGACUGCGUCUGAUUAGCUAGUUGGAGGGGCAACGGCCCACCAAGGCGAUGGUCAGUAGCCGGUCUGAGAAGAUGAACGGCCGCAUUGGGACUGGGACCCGGCCCAGACUCCUACGGGAUGCAGCAGUGGGGAAUCUUCCGCAAUGGACGAAAGUCUGACGGGGCAACGCCGCGGGGGUGAUGGCGGCCUUCGGGUUGUAAAGCUCUGUUAAUCGGGACGCGGUACCGGAAUAGAAAGCCACGGCUAACUACGUGCCAGCAGCCGCGGUAAUAC
rnacentral:rRNA from 1 species